CCCUAGCCCAGAUUAAAGUGAAAAUCCUUUUCUCUCGUUUCUUUAACGAGAGAAAAGAUUGUAACGGAAAGCUGGAAAUAGC
rnacentral:sRNA from 1 species